GUGGGUAUAGCUCAGUGGUAGAGCACAUGCUUAGCAUGCAUGAGGUCUUGGGUUCAAACCCCAGUACCUCCA
rnacentral:tRNA from 1 species